CACAGGGGAAUCUUGUUAAGAUGCAGAUUCUGUUUCAGUGGGUCCUAGGAUACUGCAUUUCUAACAAGUUCUCAGGUGAU
rnacentral:pre_miRNA from 1 species